AACGGUGGCGGCGCGCUUAACACAUGCAAGUCGAACGAGAAAGCCCGCAAGGGUGAGUAAAGUGGCGUACGGGUGAGUAACACGUGGGUAAUCUACCUUUUGGUGGGGAAUAACCCUGGGAAACCGGGGCUAAUACCGCAUAAGCUCGAGAGAGGAAAGGAGCAAUUCGCCGAAAGAGGAGCCCGCGGCUGAUUAGCUAGUUGGUGAGGUAAAGGCUCACCAAGGCUAUGAUCGGUAGCCGGCCUGAGAGGGCACACGGCCACACUGGCACUGAAACACGGGCCAGACUCCUACGGGAGGCAGCAGUGGGGAAUCUUGCACAAUGGGGGAAACCCUGAUGCAGCGACGCCGCGUGAGCGAUGAAGCCCUUCGGGGUGUAAAGCUCUUUCGGCAGGGACGAUAAUGACGGUACCUGAAGAAGAA
rnacentral:rRNA from 1 species